AAAAACAUCAAGUGCAUUCAAGAGAGAACCCUAGCAAGGCAAGCUUCAUUCAAUUGCUUCAUUCAAAGAGCCAAAAGAAAGUGGUUGAGCAGAUUCCAAGAGACAUUAAGAGCUCCACCAAUCCUUGAAGAGUGAAGCAAUCGUGACAAAGAAGAGAAGAGCUUUAUUAAAGGGAUAACUAUAUUCUAAACUCUUCUUUGUAGAUUAUAUUGUUAUAUUUGCUCAUUUAGGAGUUUAAAUCUUCUUCCUUUAUUUGUUAAACUACUUGUAAAGGUUGGUUGGUAAGCUCGCAAAACCAACGGAAUAGGUUGAUUGG
rnacentral:lncRNA from 1 species